rnacentral:hammerhead_ribozyme from 1 species
AUCCAGUUGACGAGUCCCAAAUAGGACUAAACCGGCGUUCUGGAU